rnacentral:rRNA from 1 species
UACAGAGGUCUCAAGCGUUGUUCGGAUUCAUUGGGCGUAAAGGGUGCGUAGGCGGCGCGGUAAGUCGGGUGUGAAUCUCGGAGCUUAACUCCGAAACUGCAUUCGAUACUGCCGUGCUUGAGGACUGGAGAGGAGACUGGAAUUUACGGUGUAGCGGUGAAAUGCGUAGAUAUCGUAAGGAAGACCAGUGGCGAAGGCGGGUCUCUGGACAGUUCCUGACGCUGAGGCACGAAGGCCAGGGGAGCAAACGGG